CUACGUAGGGGGCGAGCGUUGUCCGGAAUGAUUGGGCGUAAAGGGCGCGUAGGCGGCGCGGUAAGUCUGGAGUGAAAGUCCUGCUUUCAAGGUGGGAAUUGCUUUGGAUACUGCCGCGCUUGAGUGCAGGAGAGGUUAUCGGAAUUCCCGGUGUAGCGGUGAAAUGCGUAGAGAUCGGGAGGAACACCAGUGGCGAAGGCGGGUAACUGGACUGCAACUGACGCUGAGGCGCGAAAGUGUGGGGAGCAAACAGGAUUAGAUACCCUGGUAGUCCACACUGUAAACGAUGAAUGCUAGGUGUAAGAGGUAUCGACCCCUUUUGUGCCGGAGUCAACACAAUAAGCAUUCCGCCUGGGGAGUACGGCCGCAAGGUUGAAACUUAAAGGAAUUGACGGGG
rnacentral:rRNA from 1 species